GUUCAGCUCAGAAAAAAUAAAUUUCAGUUAAAGCUACGAAGAAAAGCAAUUUCAGUACUCCAUCCAUGGUAGAGAAAGAACAACUCAAGUAUGAACGAAAACGAGAACUUCAUUAAAAGAAAAGCACAUUACAGCAUGUUACAAAGGCCUACACUACGGGACGAAAGACUAUCCUUAAAAGCUUUACAUAGCCACAUGCAUCAUCAUCAACAAUUACAUCGUUAUCACCUAUCCUACUACUUCGGCCUUCGGUCCGGAGAAACUCUCGCAGCUCGAUAUGUGAGUUUGGCAGAAAGAGCUGCAGAAAGCCAAGAAGUUAAUCCUCAUAAGCGUUUCCCAUGGACCCUCUGUAGGACGGC
rnacentral:lncRNA from 1 species